rnacentral:rRNA from 1 species
CCUACGGGUGGCUGCAGUAAGGAAUAUUGGUCAAUGGACGAAAGUCUGAACCAGCCAUCCCGCGUGCAGGAUGAAAGCCCUAUGGGUUGUAAACUGCUUUUAGCAGAGAAGAAAAGCUUUCAUUAAUGAGAGUCUGACGGUAUCUGCAGAAUAAGCACCGGCUAACUCCGUGCCAGCAGCCGCGGUAAUACGGAGGGUGCGAGAGUUAUCCGGAAUUACGGGGUUGAAGGGGUGCGAAGAAGUCGGUUGAGAAAUCUUGUCGCUUAACAGUAGAAUGGCCAAUGAUACUGGUACUCUUGAAUUGGGUUGAGGUUAGCGGAAUGUGACAUGUAGCGGUGAAAUGCAUAGAUAUGUCAUGGAACACCAAUUGCGAAGGCAGCUAACUGGGCCUUGAUUGACGCUGAGGCACGAAAGCGUGGGUAGCGAACAGGAUUAGAUACCCCUGUAGUC